rnacentral:sRNA from 1 species
UUGACAGGCCUGGAGACUGAAGGCCUCUAUUUAUCCCCAGAAAAAGGGCAGCUACUGGCAAACUUCCCCUUACCAACAGACCUCAGUUCUCCCCUGGUGGAAAUCAGAGGAGUGAGAGAAGAGUUCAGCCUCAGUGACCCAUUUGGUGUUUGACUAAC